CCCUUAGAUGUUCUGGGCCGCACGCGCGCUACACUGUUCGACGCAGCGAGUCUUAACCUUGACCGAAAGGUUUGGGUAAUCUUCAGCAAAGUCGAACGUGAUGGGGAUCGAUCAUUGCAAUUAUUGAUCGUGAACGAGGAAUUCCUAGUAAGUGCGAGUCAUCAGCUUGCGCUGACUUACGUCCCUGCCCCUUGUACACACCGCCCGUCGCUGCCCGGAACUGAGCCGUUUCGAGAAAGCCGGGGACUGACGGCUUGUGGGUGCGCAAGCGCUUCUUGCCGAUGGAAACCAGUUUAAUCGGUAUGGCUUGAACCGGGCAAAAGUCGUAACA
rnacentral:rRNA from 1 species